CGCUGACUGGGUUUGGCGUUUCGGGCAAUGCAGGGGCUCGGAGACUCAGAGCUGACGCCGAGACACCUGAACUAGCUCUAGCAGAAGAGAAAUGGAGGAGCCAUAGAACAUAAGGAUGAAUUCAGGAAAGCCUGAGACCAUGGAAAACUUGCCUGAUCUCUACACUAUUUUCCAGGGAGAGGUUGCUAUGGUGACAGACUAUGGAGCCUUUAUCAAAAUCCCAGGCUGUCGAAAGCAAGGUCUGGUCCAUCGAACUCACAUGUCAUCCUGUCGGGUGGAUAAGCCCUCUGAGAUAGUAGAUAUCGGAGACAAAGUGUGGGUGAAACUUAUUGGCCGAGAGAUGAAAAAUGAUAGAAUAAAAGUAUCCCUCUCCAUGAAAGUUGUCAACCAAGGGACUGGGAAAGACCUCAAUCCCAACAACAUAAUUAUUGAGCAAGAAGAAAGGAGGAGGCGGUCCUUCCAGGAUUACACUGGGCAGAAGAUCACCCUUGAGGCUGUCCUUAACACUACCUGCAAGAAGUGUGGCUGUAAAGGCCACUUUGCAAAGGAUUGUUUCAUGCAGCCAGGUGGGACCAAAUAUUCUCUGAUACCCGAU